rnacentral:miRNA from 1 species
AAUAGAUCGACUUGGACAUC